rnacentral:rRNA from 1 species
UACAGAGGUCCCAAGCGUUGUUCGGAUUCACUGGGCGUAAAGGGUGCGUAGGCGGUUGGGUAAGUCUGAUGUGAAAUCUCACAGCUCAACUGUGAAACUGCAUUGGAUACUAUCCGGCUCGAGGACUGGAGGGGAGACUGGAAUUCUUGGUGUAGCAGUGAAAUGCGUAGAUAUCAAGAGGAACACCAGUGGCGAAGGCGAGUCUCUGGACAUUACCUGACGCUGAGGCACGAAAGCCAGGGGAGCAAACAGG